UGAAGGCUGGGUCUCAGGCAAGCACUUGCCACACCAUUUCCUGAGCAGGCUGGAGGCUAGCACAAACAUCAUUUUGCCAGCUGGAACCAUGACUUCGUAUUUCCAGGUCAUAACCCAGCUGGAGGGUUAGCAUCCUUUAUCCCACAUAGGCAAGUUUUUGCAAAGUGCACUCCUGGAGAAAAAUCAGGAGGUGUCAGCGUGUGGUUAACACUGUAAUUUAACUGUGGUAACACCUGACACAUUGUGCUGCAUUCCUCCUGCUACUUUACUUAAAAAAGCCAAACAAAAUCCUCCUGGUUAGAAGAACUGGUCCAACCUUUUGGGCUGCACACAGCCUUCAGGCUGUUGUCUUACAUCAGCAUGGCAGGGACAUAUAUUCAGUCAGUGCCACCUUCCUAACCAGGAGGACUUGACACUUGUUUGAUAAAUGAAAGCUCAGUUUUCCAAGGAUCAGAUGAUCAGAGAGGAACAAGCCAGAGCCCUCAGGGGGCUGGGACAGUGGGGAGGCUCUGUGCUUCACACCAUCACUCUCAUUCUUGGCCAGUGAUACACAAACAGCUGUUUUAUUUACACUGUAAGAUGUGCCUUGGUGCUGUGUUCAGCCAGAGGGAAGCUGGUAGGAGAAGAGAAAAUGCAAUUCCCAAGGCACAGACCCCACUGGCUUGCACCAACAAGGGGUAACUGAGAGGGGACCUCAUCCAAGUGUCUGAAGGGCAGGUGUCAAGGUGGUGCUGAGCAGUAGGAGGAGAGAAACAUGAGGAAACACUCAUUUUCUGUGAGGAUGACAAGAGCACUGAAGCAGACUGCCCAGGCUGUGGAGGGUCCUUCUCUGGAGAUACUCAAAAGCCUUCUGAACUCAAUCCUGAGUAAUGUGCUUUGGGGGACCCUGCUCAAGCAAGGAGAUUGAAGAGACAAUCUUCACUGGUCCCUACCAAUCUCACCCACUCUGUGACUCCAUGUGACAAGAGAGCUACAGGCAUGGCUUGCAUCAGGCUGGAGCAGACUAGGGCUGCAAGUCACACAGAAAAAAGGGAGCACCACAAGGUGCUCACCAGGGCAGGACAGAGCAUGCAGGAUGUGCAUUCUCGGAAGAGAAGUUCCUCCCAAGCCUGUCACCCUGUUCAGGUGUCACAGACAUCAGCUUGCAUAUCAGGACACGAGUGAGUCUUAGCACAGAGCUCACCUGGGAGCCCUGGCUCUGCUGCCAGCCACCCACACUCAUCCUGCAGCCACCUGCCACAGCAAGCACCAGGGCUUCUGGGGACAUUCUGUAAGCUGAGCUCCACUUGAAAGCAAGGACAAGCUUAGAUGAGAGUCACCUCCCUGUUUGAAAGGGAGCAGAGCCACACCUGAAUCAGAGCCAAGUGGGAUGCUGCACGACACAUCCUUUUGCUCCUUCUUUCUCACCCAGCUCCUGCCUGUUUCUCCUCUCUUCUCUUCUCAAUGUGCCAUCCAGGCAGCCUUCUCUCCACUGCCCCCAGCAUCCAGCCUUGCUUCCUCCUUGUCCCCAAACACAAGUCCAUCCCUCUGCAGGCGUCAGUAGAACUCCCUUCUCUCCAGCAUCAAGGUUAGGUUUGGCAGCAAGCAGCUGGACAAGGAGAGGAGUGGCUGAAAAGCAAUUUCUGGCAGCAAAUCUACUGAGCUAUCAUCCCUGAGCCAGUCACAGCUGACAGUUCUGAGCUUGUACAUACAACACUUAAGAGCAAGGACUACAGCAUUUCCUAUGAGUCCCCAGGCCACAGGUCACUGCAGAGGGUGUUGGAUGGGCUGCUGAGCACAGGGUGCUCACAACCACCACCACGUUCUGAAAGCUCCUGAAAUAUUAAAUAUAAAUAUUUCCACUAGAGGGUGUCAGGGACUCAGCCAGGGAGAGUCCCAGGAGGAGGAGCUCAGAGCUGCUCCCCACUGGCCAGGGCAGCCCUCCUCAGGAAGCCUGCACACCCAGCUCCAGCCAAACCCACCUCAAACGCACACACAUCAGUAACACACCAUCAGUGAGCUAAUUAUGGCUAAUUUCAGGACAAGGAACUGGCUUGCAGUCUGCCAGAAAACAGGUAGGGAGCAGAGACUGGAGUUCCCAGGUGUGCACUUGGUGCACACCUUUUCUCCAACACACUUUUCUCCAAGCCUCCAGGCUUGCAGCAGCUCCCAGUGCCAUGCUGAACUCUGCCCACACACACAAGGAUGAUCCAGGUGUCUCUCUUUUCCCCAGGCUGGCUCUGGUUCAUCCUUGGGUCUCCAAAACCCCAAACAUCUCUAAGGGGUAGGUUAUGAAAGCUUUUAUGAGCCAACACAAAGCAGAGAUCGAUGUUUUGUCUACUCCCAGGCAAGGCAGCAAACCUGCCUGAGACUCCCAUUCCUUGCUAAGGGAUGCAGGAGGAGCAUCAGGCUGGGAGCCAGAGGCUGGUGAAACAAUGCUGUGAAAAUCACUUAGCACCACAGCAGCCUUACACUUCAGGCUCUUCAGGAGUAAUACAACUUAAGAUAGGCAACCCAAUACAGCUGGAGCACCUCAGGGCCACUGCAGAACAAGCAAAACCCAGCAAUCUCUUCUUCCCUUGGAUUUCCUUAUAGCUUUUACCCACUGAUACACUUUAGAGACACUCUAUGGAGCUACCCAGUGCCCCCAGCUGCCUGCUUCAUGCCACCUGGACAGAGCUAAGCUUACCAAGUAUCAGGUGUGAACUGCUUAGGAAGAACACACACAUACAUUCCCUACCCCUAAGAAGCUGUUUCUGGUUAAGACAUAAACCCUGGAUUUUGCAGGGAAUUAGUGCAAAAGAUAUGUUUCCAUCUGCCCCACAACAUCUUGUUGCCCCAUAGGGAUCACAGCUCAGCACCAACAAACCUUCCAAAGCCCUCCAGCUGUGUGUGCAAGACAGAAACAAGAUGCUAAAAGCAAUGCCAGAGCUACCCUGGUGAAGCCAGAGGAGAGCACUGGGAGGCACCUGAAUAGCAGUGAGGGUGGGAAUAUGAGGAACAGGAGCACAGCACUUUGUUACCAGACUCUGCCAAAUCUGCUAAUCCUUCUGUGGCCACCCAUGCCACCCCAGGGAAGGAGGGAGGGGCUGCCACCAGAGACACAGGAGCAGCUAGAAGGGGUCUGUUGUCUCCCAGUCACUGGAAGCUCUCAGGGAUGCACGUUCCUUCCAUCCCUCCCCCACAGCAAUAUUGAUUCCUAUUCCAAACAGGAUCCAGCACUUGGCAGGAGGUGGUUCCUGGACAGGCUCUGUGGUCACAGAAGCCCCAGAUGUGAUCCAGGCACACUACAGCACUGCCCUGCUCUCACAGCUCUCCUAAAGGUGCAGACCAAUACACUGCUGAGAGAAGAUUUUGAGAUGGGGCUUUCCACUGAACUAUGAAGCACUGGCUCCCUCCUGGAAAUGUUAUUUCCACAGAAGGACUGAAGCAUGCAUGGCUGGUGGAUGGCAGCAGGACUGUCCCUGCCGGGAGUCAGGCACACCUUAAAAAAUUGCUCCAGUGGGAAAGGAGGAAAAGCAAAGUCAACAAACUCAGUCCUUCCCCAUCUUGCAGUGCACAGCUACUCAUGGAGAUGGGCAGCACUGGAGACCCCAGUCUGGUUUGGAGCACCCACAUUCCUCCACCUCCCUGUCCAUGGGUCAGACCUGACCUCCCAGAAAUGCAAACACAUCACACCUCCCCAGAGCAGAGCCUGACAUCUUUGUCCAUCAGAGAGCAGAGUCUGACAUCUUUGUCCAUCAGAGCCAUGUCCUAUCAAGACAAGAAAUCUCCCACAGUGCCAAGGACCCACACAAAACCAGGUGACCACCUUACAAAUCCUCUCAGUAGCCCAGGAGGAGGUUGGCUCCUCCUUAGCAAGCAGGGUGCCCUGGUCCUUCUUUCCCAAAAUCACCAACCACUUCCACUGACACAGCAAAACAGACCAGACAGCCCCUGCAGCACAACACCUCUGGGUGGAAAACGGCAGGAUUUUCCCAAGGUGUGAUCAAAUGGCUGUGGAACCCCAGGCAAGCACUGAAUCACUGUCUCUCCAGCCUCCCUGCACCUGGAACAAAAGCCAGCAGUGCCCUGGGAGAGGCUUUGCUUACUGUCCUUGCAGCAGCUCCUGACACAUCCCACAAAGGAAAGACUGGAUUGUAACCUACAGCCCAGAGAUACACAAAAGGAGGACACCAUCAGCUUUACACAUGCAGGAAACUUCACCUCACUGGGAAAAUAAUUGCAAGGUUUGGGCUAUGUUUGUUUUUCCAAAGCCCCCAGUGGCUGUCACAUUAUUAGAGCAGAUUACAGAGCAUCUCUGCUGACAUGCUCAAUCGCUCACACCUGUGAAAACCUCUCAUUUUCCUUUUAAAUAUGUCCCUCCUUCCUGUCUUCCACUUUUUAUUAUUUUCAUUGUUUCUUCGCAACCUCAUUUAUCUUCAGAGUCAGCCAUUUAGAUUUUAAUAAAAGGCUUCACUGUCUAUCCCCUUUUUUCUUCAAAGGCCCCGAUUUAUUUUGCUGCCUCUUCUUGGUUCCCCCCAGCCUAAUUGUUAUUAUUUUUAACCUGCAGUAGUUUCCUUUGCUUUCUUCUCCAUUCUAAUCACUCCCUGCUCCUGUUUUCCCCUCUCUGUACUAAGUCCCUUUCAUCCCUCACCUCCCUCUCUGCCCCUGGCCAAGCAUCCAAUACACGCAGAGCAAGCGUAACCAAACAUAAAUAUGAAAGGGAUCAUCCAAUUUCAGCAAAAUGCUUGCCCCUACCUAUUCAAAUAUUUAACUUGCAAUGACUAAGCCCAAGAAGAUCAUAAAUUUUUUUUACAGACCUCUGCAGGUCUUUAAUAAACCUCAGCCUGCACCUCGAUGACAGCCAGAGCUGCAGUUGCUGAGCUGUUUCCUAUGCAUUACAGCAGAUUUGCUCCAAGGUAAGCAAGAGGGACGCCUGGGCUCAAAUUAGAAGCAAGGAGAUUUCAUUCCCCAGUUGCUGGUUUAUUGAAAUUCAAUGCCUCCCUCUCACCUGAUGCUUUGUUAUGCUAACCCCAACCAGCCAGCAAAGAUUUCCAGCCCAUGGGGGAAGGCAAGCAGCCACACUCCCAAGAAUCCCAGGGAACUGUGUCCUGCAGGUGACACUCCCAUCAAACCUGGGAGUUGGUGCAUCCUGCAGCGAGACCUGUGGCAUUGACAGGGACUCUUGCAGGGUCCCACUCCUCCUAAAGGAAGGGGGACAUGGUGGUGUCACUGAAGGCACUCCAUGCCAGGGGACACCAGGUGACGGCCACAUCUUGCAGCAGAUUAUGGCAAGGGCUGUGGGGAGCUCCUCGUGCCUUAGAGGGGCAGGACCUCAUGGGGUUCUGAACCCCUUGCACAGAGCACCCAGCAGGGUCCUGCUAUUGCAUGAAACCUUGCUAUCCUUUUAGACACUACACAACCAUUUCAUCCAAGCCAUCUCCUGCUGGGAAUGUACAGCUCCCAGUGCAUUUCCACCUUCUAGAAGUGCACGGGCUUGCAGACCUGACAGAGCAGCUGAGCUGGAGGAGUUCAGGGCUGAGUUCAGGGCUGGGACAUCAGCUACCCCAGCCCAUCUCUCCAGAGCCCUGUGCUGCACAGUGGUGCAUGAGAAGAAAAGAUGAAACCUCCAGGCAACUCAGUGCCCUGGGAUAAGCACAUUUGGGAGCUGCUGGCCCCUUUCGCUCACUGCUCCACCUGGGGAAAAACACAGAGGCCCAAGGAGGGCAGGGCAAAGAUACAGACAAGGAAACCAUGCCUGGAGUGUAAAAGAGCCCUCACAGGAGUCCUACUGCACUUUGCAACAUUUAAUUAAAAGUAAACCCUCCCGAAGGGAAGAAAAUAGCGUCUUUCUUUCCCAAAAUGGGAGAAAACAUGCAAAAGCUAACCAUACAUGCCCCUGGGUGAGGUAGUAAGACAGCCUAUAUUAUAAAUGCCCACCAAGGAGUUUUGACACAGCAUUGGCAAAAAUACUGCAUUUACAGAGUGGAAUAGAGCUGCAGAACAAAGUAAUCCAACUCUUCAUGCCUUCUCUCAAUUUCUGGAAGAGACAGAAGGCUGCUUCAAACGGUAAUGUAGACUUGUGGCCAAUCUGGGUGCACAAACCUGGCUGAAAGAGAAUGCAUCUAUUUUUGUUUUACCUAUACUGUGAAUUAAUGCCUAUGUUUCACACUGGCUGCUCACACCCACCCUCAGCCAUGCAGAUGCCCUCAGCAAUGUGGCAAG